UACGUAGGCAGCAAGCGUUGUUCGGAGUUACUGGGCGUAAAGGGUGUGUAGGCGGUUGGAUAAGUGUGGUGUGAAAUCUCCCGGCUCAACUGGGAGGGUGCGCUACAAACUGUCUGACUCGAGUGUGGGAUGGGUAAGUGGAAUUCCUGGUGUAGCGGUGAAAUGCGUAGAUAUCAGGAGGAACACCGGUGGUGUAGACGGCUUACUGGACCAUAACUG
rnacentral:rRNA from 1 species